rnacentral:lncRNA from 1 species
AAAAAAAUAAAAAGAUGGAAUAAGAUAUAUCAUGUGAACUUUAAUCAAAAGAAAGCACGAGUGGCAACACUAAUACCAGAUGAAAUGGACUUCAGAACAAGGAAUAUAACUAGACAUGAAGAGAUAUGUUACAUAAUAAUAAAGAGGUCAGUUCAUCAAGAAGCCAUACAAUCAUAAACGUGUAUACACCAACAGAAAACUUCGAAAUAAAUAAAGCAAAAAUGGCCAAAAAAAAGUGGGGGGUGCGGGGGAGGAACAAAUCUACAAUUUAGUUGAAUAAUUCAAAACUCCUCUUUUGGUAACUGACAGAACAAGCAAACCUUACCAUCACUACCAACCAACUUAACUUGGCUGACAUUUACAGAACAUUCCACCCAAUGACAGCAGACUACACAUUCUACUCAAGUGAACAUGGAACAUCCACUAAAAGACACCAUUCUGGGACAUAAAACAAGCCUUGGUAAAUAAAAAAAAAAAUGAAAUAAUGAAAUUAAAUUAGAAAUCAACAACAGAAAAAGACUUGGGAAAUCCUCAAAUACAUGGAGCCUAAUACACUUCUAAAUAACCCAUGUAACAAGGAAGAAAUCACAAAGGAAAUUAGAAAAUAUUUUAAACUGGGCCGGGCUCGGUGGCUCACGCCUGUAAUCCUGGCACUUUGGGAGGUCUAGGUGGGUGGAUCACCUGAGGUCAGGAGUUGGAGACCAGCCUGGCCAACAUGUGAAACCCUGUCUCUACUAAAAAUACAAAAUUAGCUGGGCAUGGUGGCAUGUGCCUGUAAUCCCAGCUACUCGGGAGGCUGAGGUAGGAGUAUCCACUUCUUGGUAUAUACUUUUGAAAACCUCAUGCAGAUUUGCGGAGAGACAAAUAAUUGGAACAUCACUUCUAAUAACAAUGAUAACAAAAAAAAUCAGAAGUAACCUAAAUGUUCAAUAACAGAAAACCAGCCAAAAAGACGUUCUAUGGAAGAACACACAGUUGAUUAAAAGAACACGAUAGAACAAUACUUCAAAGUUCUCCGGGCCGGGUGCAGUGGCUCACGCCUGUAAUCCCAGCACUUUGGGAGGCCGAGGCGGGCGGAUCACGAGGUCAGGAGAUUGAGACCAUCCUGGCUAACACGGUGAAACCCCGUCUCUACUAAAAAUACAAAAAAUUAGCCGGGCAUGGUGGUGGGUGCCUGUAGUCCCAGCUACUCGGGAAGCUGAGGCAGGAGAAUGGCGUGAACCCAGGAGGCAGAACUUGCAGUGAGCCGAGAUCGUGCCACUGCACUCCAGCCUGGGCGACAGAGCGAGACUCCAUCUCAAAAAAAUUAAAAAAAUAAAAAUUAAAAAAAAGUUCUCCAAAACACAACCUGGAAUUUUAAGUUGCAAAAUGUAGACCUUAUGAAAAACAUGUUCACAUUUCCAUACUGUGCCAUGCCCAAAAAAGGUGUUACCUUUAACUGGAGACAUUUAAGUUAAUGACCUUGGAAAAAGAUAAAAAUCGUUUUUAUUGGCCUGGCACGGUGGCUCACGCCUAUAAUCCCAGCACUUUAGGAGGCCUACAACAGGCAGAUCACCUGAGGUCUGGAGUUCGAGACCAGCCUGGCCAACAUGGUGAACCCCCAUCUCUCCUAAGAAUAUAAAAAUUAGGGCGGGGUGGCCGGGUGGCUCACACCUGUAAUCCCAGCACUUUGGGAGGCCGAGGCGGGCAGAUUACCUGAGGUCAGGAGUUCGAUAUCAGCCUGGGCAACACGGUGAAACCCCGUCUCUACUAAAAAUACAAAAUUAGCCGGGCGUGGUGACACAUGCCUGUAGUCCCAGCUACUUGGGAGGCUGAGGCAGGAGAAUCGCUUGAACCUGGGAGGCGGAGGAUGCAGUGAGCCGAGAUCGCGCCAUUGCACUCCAGCCUCGGCAACAAGAGUAAAUCUCCGUCUCACCAAAAAAAAAAAAAAAAAGAAAAAAAAAAUUAGGGUAGGGUGCUGUGGCUUAUGCCUGUAAUACCAGCACUUUGGGAGGCUGAAGCGGGUGGAUCACUUGAAUCCAGGAGUUUGAGACCAGCCUGGACAACAUGGCAAAACCUCAUCUCUACAAAAAAUACAAAAAUUAGCCAGGCAUGGUAGUGUAUGCACCUAUAGUCCCAGCUACUGGGGAGGCUGAGGUGGGAGGAUCGCUUGAGCCCAGGUCGAGGCUGCAGUGAUCUGUGAUUGUACCACUGCACUUCACCCUAGGUGACAGAGUGAGACCCUGUCUCAAAAAAAAAAAGAAAAAAGAAAAAAGAAAAUACAUUUUAAGAAAACUGAAGAACUGAGAUAUACGUGAGACAAAAGUCCAAUGCUGAUUCACACGUAAUUUGAAAAGCUAAUGAAUAGAAAUGAAGAUCUGCUCUCCCCCAAGUAGAUACACAGGCACACGUUUUUAGGUUGCAGAUGGAAGUACUGAACUGAGAAAAAGCCAGGGAGAGAAGCAAAGAUGGUUUUGGUUGUAGAUUGUUGAACUUUAUUUUUUUUUUCCCCAAGACAGAGUCUUGCUCUGUCGCCCAGGCUGGAGUGUAGUGGUGUGAUCUGGGCUCACUGCAACCUAUGCCUUCCAGGUUCAAGCGAUUCUCAUGCCUCAGCCUCCCGAGUAGCUGGGACUACAGGUGUGCACCCCCAUGCACAGCUACUGACUGUUGAACUUUUAUUUUUAUUUUUUUGAGACAGAGUCUCGCUCAGUCAGCCAGGCUGGAGUGUAGUGGCGUGAUCUUGGCUCACUGCAAGCUCCGCCUCCCAGGUUCACACCAUUCUCCUGCUUCAGCCUCCCGAGUAGCUGGGACUACAGGUGCCCGCCACCACGCCUGGCUAAUUUUUUGUAUUUUUAGUAGAGAUGGGGUUUCACCGUGUUAGCCAGGAUGGUCUCAAUCUCCUGACCUCGUGAUCUGCCCGCCUCGGCCUCCCAAAGUGUUGGGAUUACAGGCGUGAGCCACCGCGCCCGGCCCCUGACUGUUGAACUUUAAGCCCUAAUGAAUUAUUAGCAAUUAUUUAUUAUUUUGAACCGGUUGCUUCUCCUGCUCCAAAAGAUAGAUGGUCAAGACUCGGUAGCAUACUUUCCAAGAUGUGCUUACCUCAACUGCUCUCCUUAAUGCGUCUUCAGUCUGGCUUUAUGGUAUCCCACACAGCAAAAAUAACCAAGAUGGUCACCUCAUCUGUCUCCCCAGAUUUCAAAAGAAAAAAAUUAUGCCAGUCACCCUGCCUAUCAGUGGGGUCAUCUGGAUGUAGCAACCUCAUUCUGGGACUCCACAUCACACUGAUCGCGCACUUCCCCACAAGUGCUCUGCAAUCAUCCACCCUGAGCAAGCGAGGGCUCUGCCUCUGGAGAUCCAUUAAAGUGUGUGGGGUCCACAUAUUUAAUGGAACACACUACAUACAUGGUAGUGUAGAGAAACAACUUUAUAACCUAGUCAUUUUCAAUAAGAAAAAUCAGUGCUAGCCUUUGCAUUUAAAAGUGUGGAAAAAUUUAAAUCUAUUUUAACUCACUAAGGUAAUUAAUAGUAAAACUAAAUAAUUGGCCAGAAAGAGUUGUUUUUCAACUAGAGCCUUUUAAAACAAAAAAGAUGUUUGAAACAUUUCUUUUUCUCCUACCCAAAUGUUGAAAUACUGUACUAAUGCUUCAGAGAGUAACUAUAUUAAUGAAACAUCAACAAGUUACAGAUAAACAUUUUAAUUGAUUAAAUAUAUUACUUUCAAGAUCUUUUUGAAAUCGCACUUGUACUGUAC